GGGCAGAGAAAGUAAAGGCAAGCCAUUUAACUCAUUAGAAAGAAAACGCAAACCAAAGAGAACCCUAAUCGCCGUCUCUCUCUCGUCUCAACUCAGUCGCCACCGCACUCAGUCGCCACCGCACUCAGUCACCACCGUAUCUCUUCAACUCAGUCGCCAGCGUCUCAUCUCAACACGAUUCACCACCGCCUCGUUUCUAUCGGUAUGAAAUUUCUCGCCCCCGUUUCGUUGACACUUCUUUGUCUCCUCCGAUUCAUGCAAUUUCUCGCCCCCUUUAUCUGUUCACGUGAGAAUCUGGCAUUUUUAGUUAGUUCACACUUCACAUCGUUAUUCUUGACUGUGUAUAUAUCUUAAUAGUUCACACUUCACAUUGUUAUUUUCACUCUAUUAUUCAGUGUUUGUUACCCACUUCACAUGCUUAUGUAGCUAACACUUCCCUGAUGAUUAUAUAUGUCAUGUUGCUGUUUGGAUUUAAUUUCUUGCUAGGAAAUAUGGUGGAAUCAAGAUUGAAGAAAUAGAUGGUAUCCAAACCAAUGACACAGAUUUGGAAGAUGACCAGCUGUUGAUAUAAUUUGAAGAAGAUUUUGAUGACAAUGAUUCAACUAAUGAAGAUGUUCCAAAUGAUCAUAUUGAACCUGAUUAUGAUUAAAUUUGUUUAUUGUUUUUUUUUCUUCUUUCUUUUGGUUGAAAAGAUGUCAGGUAUUGGUAAACCAAGAGGACUGCAUAAACGAUUUGUGGAUAAAGGGAAUGGAAAGAAAGUUCCAACCAUUUCUACUAGUUUGGAGCAAAGGAACACUGCUAUGCACACAACUUCAGUGUCACACUAGGAAGGGAAGACAACUUUGUUGAUAAGAGAUCAAGUGAUGCAUAUGAUAACAUUGUAAAUCUAUGUUCACAAGUUGAGACUAGUGGCACUCAACCCAAGCCAAUUGGUAUGGAUGGAAGCAUGCUCACCCAUGGCUCAACAUCUCAAUCAAAUAAAUAUUCAAAUUAUGUUGAUAUUGUUCAUGGCAUGAGUGGAGAGGUUGAUGCGGGACUACGACAACAAUUGAUAUUUGGAUUUAAUGGAUUUGGAUGAAGAUGAUCCUUCUGUUGGUAUUGUUAGUCGUGGAAGCAAUGCCAUUGAUGGUUCAAAUGCUAAUGAGUAGUAAUAUUGAUGACUUUGGAUUAGAACUUAAAAAUUAUUGAAAGUUUGAUAUUUUGUAGGCACAUUCAAGUUAUUUGAACUUUAACCUUUUGAAUGUAAUGAUAAAAGUUUGAUAUUUGGA